UCUAUUUUGGCAGAAAAGUGCAAUGGAUUUAGAAUCCAAGUAUGUAAGUUAUUCUUACAAAUAGUA
rnacentral:tRNA from 1 species